CGAAUACUUAAUAAGCCCGUAAAAAAAUAACACUCGGGCGACAUUUUGCCCCUUCACGUUCUGUAGACAUACUCUUUUUCGUACCAUUACUCUACUCUCGUAUAAACGAUCCAUAUAUCUGUGUACACACACACACGCGUGUCCCCUCAAUGUGUGUGUACCCAGUUGGGUUGAGAUCCGGGCGAGGAUUUCACCAAGGUCCACCAGUUCUUCGAAACGGACAGACGAACCUACGUCCUUUUGAUUGAAAUAUGUUAAACUCUUUUAGUUUUUCAAGCACAACAGGCACUUUUACCCUAACGUUGUAGUAUUCAAUUUUGUGCAGGACUGUUUUUAAAGUUUGUAGCUUCAACAGUUUUCUUUUUGCCCAAGUAAUAUACUCAAUAGUUAAUUGAGGGAGUUGCAGAAUGAAUAUAGGGUUCAUACAGGUUCACGGUUUAUGGGUCAGUCUUAAAAUUAGUUAACUAUGAAAUAUAAAAGCAAGACUUCGCCAAGUGCUGUGUGAAUUUGACUUCUAUAUACAUAUAUAUACUAUAUAUUUAUAAUGACCAAAAGAUGGGCUGGGGAUUAGGGCGAUACGAAGCGUUCACUGGACGUUUCCCUUGCAAUUGUGAGUGGGACAUUGACUGAAACAGGUAUUUACCAAGCCUUACUCUUAUCUCUAUGCGCUUAACUAACCCAACAGAUACAGAUCCGCAUUCCCUGCCAUCCCUGCAUUCCCCUCCGCACAUCCAACCAACAUCCCCAAGACACAAGAACACAGACACAUCAUGAACCAUAAAAUACGAACCACAAACGAUAAAUGUAUGUACAUAUAUAUAGUAGUAUCUAAAUAGCGACUUUGAGAGACAAUCGUACUGCAUGCGAUAUGGACUUGGCCACUGGGUUCCUGGGUCACUUCUUGACGAUGGAAUGGGUUUCGGGGUCUCCAGUGGAGGUAUGUAGUCUUGGUGCCUUGUGAGCCGAAGAACGGCAGAAAGAGACGGACUGAGGGUGAGAGAAAGAGAGAGGAGCUUCUGAUGUGAGACAGAUUCACAGGUACAUUUGAUAAAUCGAUGAAAACCUAACCAAGCGAUUAGUCCAUUCCAAGGAUUCAAGGAUUCUUCUGGAUUUUACAAAUUUUAUAUGUUUAUGAUAUGAUAAUGAAUAUAUUUGAAAUACAAAAGUUUCUAAGAAACUUAUUCUAUGAGCCUUGAAAAGCUAAACUUGGAAAACGAUCGUCGGCUUGCCGUGGAAACUCUACAUAUUGCAGUUAUUUUUUUUUUUUUUUAAUCCCUAACUCAUUGUUGUGGUUUUCUGCCCCCUCCCAUCCUUCCCCUGCACUAUACUCUAUUUUUUAAGCUUGAAAAAAAAAAAAAAAAAAAAAAACUAACCCCAGCGAACUCUUCAAGUCAAGAUUCCAAGACACCCACGAAAAAUCACGAGGUAAUUGAAUUGCUAAAUCGAAUUAAAUUCUAAUCAAUCAAAUACAAUACAAUGCAAAAUGAAGAAGCACAAGCAUAGGCAGUGAUCAGAGGGAGACAGCAAACAGUGCAAAGACAGAGAGGGCGAGAGAGUUCGAGUCCCCAAACCCAUACACAUGUAUGUAUGUUCAUGUUCCCCCCUCCUCUUCACCAACAGGUAAAUUGCGACUGACCUCGACCCCUUAAAAAACUAUAAUACUGAUAUUUGUUAUCGAUCUCGAUUACGUCGAAUUUUGUGAUGUGACGCGAUCAGCCGUAGGCUGCAUCUCUGUCCAAAACCAAUCGAAUUCCCCCCGUAGCUGUAUGUUUUGUACUGUUCGUGCCACACAACCUGAGAUAUAAUGUUCAGUAUAUAAAUAAACCCCACACUCAGAUGAACUCUGAAUACGUAUCCGUAUCUAUAUACACGAUCAGCUCGAAAUUAGUCUAAGAUGCGCUAUCCACCUUUAACCGCCCUGAACUUUUGGUCUGGCUCACUUGACUCACACUUUCCUCUCUGCAAACGUAUUCCAGAAGCCGCCAACCGAGGAAUGGAGCCCGAAAGUGUUGAAAUGCGAGGGAUAUAUAUAUAUAUAGAGAGAGAGAGGAAGAUAUAUAUGGAAGAUAUACAUAAGUCUAUAGAUAAAGAAGAAGAACCAACCAGGUAACUUCUAUGCCACACCUCCCCACAUAAAUGUUUCUUCACGACAGACAUGGCGAAAUCCGAGAUCCGAGAUCCGUGAACCGCACUCCUCGAUCCAUAAUACGCAAUCCGGAAAUCAACGAAGGAUCACUUUUCAGUGAUCACAGAAUGAGAGAGAGACAGAGUGCUAGAGAACGCUGAGAGAGAGAGAGAGAGAGACACUCGUGUAGAACUGUAUUAGGCAUAAUACAAAACGAGGUGAAUUUCCAUUUCUCUCAACUACUUAUAACUAUAUUAUAUACAUAUAUCUAUAACUAUACCCAUUACUUCCACCCAUCCUUGGAUCAAAAUUAAUAUUGCAUUGAAAUCGCCGGGUUGUCAGUUAACGAAAAAUACUAUGGAGCAAUUUGAACCGUACAUAUAUGUAUAUGAAUAUGUAUAUGAAUGUAUGGUCGCUUUAGUUUUGUGUCCGCGCAGGAUAAGCUCCUUCUUUCUACCCCUUCCCUGCAGGGGACACACCUCUUCCCUGCCAGCAUCCCAGCUCCCACCCACUAACCCAACACUCCACAUUCUUAUUGUUUACCCACAAUCACGUAGCAAAUUAAUCAAUUGAAUUGAGUUAGCAUCGGGCAAACAGAGUUAAGGAACAUUUACGAAGGCAGAUUUAAGUAUAUAGUGUAACCAAUCAAUAAAACUUGAUCGAUCGUCUUUAGUCAUGUAAAGAUGUUUUUAAUUACGAAUUACGAUAUGAGUAAGGAUAAACACAUUCUAUUGAGAGACUCGCAAUAAUUUUCUAAUAAAGAUCAAACUAAAUCCCGAAUAAAACCUCCAAUCCGUUGUUUUCUUUGCAAUCGGUACAAAUGUAGUGACGAAGCGCACGAGCGGAAGUGUAAGAUCAUUAACGACGGUCAAAAAAAAUUGGAAACAGUGCAUUUACAUAUGCAAGAAAGUGUUUACACACUGAGAAAUAUUCAAUUUAUUACACAGUGUGUAAACAGUUUCUGUAUGUUUCAGGUGCGUUUGUCAGUAGUUGUUUUUGCUACGAAAAACUCCGAACGGAGAAGGCGUUGAGUUAAGUGUCUAGUCGAAAUAGACCCUACUGUCACUCGACACAUAUAUUACGGAGAAGUAAGUUUCGAGUUCAAAGAAAAAAGACAACCUGGAGACGAAGAAGAUGGCACCAUCAAAGAAAACCUAUUCGACAGGGGCCUCGAAAUAUCUACGCAAAAAGGAAGACGAAUCCUACGAAAUACCACAAGCUAAUCUAAGUCACUGCCAACGAGUGUAUGCUCUGCAAGAUGGAAAUUCGACGGACUUUGGUUCAGUGAAUUAUAUGAUAAUCCAAUUUCUUGAUACCAGAACUCGGCCCCGUAACAUUGGGAGUUCUACUUUCGAAAGUUCGGACACUGGAUGGGUUCAUUAUUUGCUCAAACCCAAA